rnacentral:rRNA from 1 species
UGGGAAUUUGGACAAUGGCGAAGCUGAUCCAGCAAUGCCGCGUGUGUGAAGAAGGCCUUCGGGUUGUAAAGCACUUUUGUCCGGAAAGAAAUCCUUGGCUCUAAUACAGUCGGGGGAUGACGGUACCGGAAGAAUAAGCACCGGCUAACUACGUGCCAGCAGCCGCGGUAAUACGUAGGGUGCAAGCGUUAAUCGGAAUUACUGGGCGUAAAGCGUGCGCAGGCGGUUUGCUAAGACCGAUGUGAAAUCCCCGGGCUCAACCUGGGAACUGCAUUUGGGUGACUGGCAGGCUAGAGUAUGGCAGAGGGGGGUAGAAUUCCACGUGUAGCAGUGAAAUGCGUAGAGAUGUGGAGGAAUACCGAUGGCGAAGGCAGCCCCCUGGGCCAAUACUGACGCUCAUGCACGAAAA